GGCUUGUCGCUGCUGAAAAGGAGAGGAAAGUCCGGGCAACACAGGGCAUCCCGCUUCCUAACAGAAAGAGGUCCGUGAGGGUCUGUAGGUGCAGAAGAAAAUAACCGCCUGUGCCCAUGCGUAGUGAAGAACUGAUGCAAAGGAACAGGUAAGGGUGAGAAGGUGGGGUAAGAGCCUACCAGGCCGGCAGUGAUGUCGGUGCUGUGCACUCCGGGAGUUGAAAGUUCAUGUAAACCGGCGAACACAAAGGGAGGGCGGCCCGUCCGAGCCGGAGGGUAGAACGAUAGAAGACAGCGGUGACGCUGCCUGUAGAUAAAUGACAAGCAUCCCCGAAAGGGGAUUACAGAACCCGGCUUACAGGUUCACUG
rnacentral:RNase_P_RNA from 1 species